UACGGAGGAUGCGAGCGUUAUCCGGAUUUAUUGGGUUUAAAGGGUGCGUAGGUGGCUGAUUAAGUCAGUGGUGAAAGUUUGUCGCUCAACGAUAAAAUUGCCAUUGAAACUGGUUAGCUUGAGUAUGUUUGAGGUAGGCGGAAUGCGUAGUGUAGCGGUGAAAUGCAUAGAUAUUACGCAGAACUCCAAUUGCGAAGGCAGCUUACUAAACCAUAACUGACACUGAAGCACGAAAGCGUGGGUAUCAAACAGG
rnacentral:rRNA from 2 species